rnacentral:rRNA from 1 species
GUGGGGAAUAUUGGACAAUGGGCGAAAGCCUGAUCCAGCCAUGCCGCGUGUGUGAAGAAGGUCUUCGGAUUGUAAAGCACUUUAAGUUGGGAGGAAGGGCAGUAAGUUAAUACCUUGCUGUUUUGACGUUACCAACAGAAUAAGCACCGGCUAACUUCGUGCCAGCAGCCGCGGUAAUACGAAGGGUGCAAGCGUUAAUCGGAAUUACUGGGCGUAAAGCGCGCGUAGGUGGUUCAGCAAGUUGAAGGUGAAAUCCCCGGGCUCAACCUGGGAACUGCCUCCAAAACUACUGAGCUAGAGUACGGUAGAGGGUAGUGGAAUUUCCUGUGUAGCGGUGAAAUGCGUAGAUAUAGGAAGGAACACCAGUGGCGAAGGCGACUACCUGGACUGAUACUGACACUGAGGUGCGAAAGCGUGGGGAGCAAACAGGAUUAGAUACCCCAGUAGUCC